rnacentral:rRNA from 1 species
AUUGAACGCUGGCGGCAUGCCUUACACAUGCAAGUCGAACGGCAGCACGGGAGUAAUCCUGGUGGCGAGUGGCGAACGGGUGAGUAAUACAUCGGAACGUGCCCAGUAGUGGGGGAUAGCCCGGCGAAAGCCGGAUUAAUACCGCAUACGACCUACGGGUGAAAGCGGGGGAGUCGCAAGACCUCGCGCUAUCGGAGCGGCCGAUGUCAGAUUAGGUUGUUGGUGGGGUAAGGCCUACCAAGCCGACGAUCUGUAGCUGGUCUGAGAGGACGACCAGCCACACUGGGACUGAGACACGGCCCAGACUCCUACGGGAGGCAGCAGUGGGGAAUUUUGGACAAUGGGGGCAACCCUGAUCCAGCCAUGCCGCGUGCGGGAAGAAGGCC